rfam:Oryza barthii chromosome 2, whole genome shotgun sequence.
AAUAAGUGCAAUCAUAAGUUUCCGUGUCCAACUUUGAUUGUCCGUCUUAUUUAAAUUUUUUUUAUAAUUAGUAUUUUUAUUGUUAUGAGAUGAUACAACAUGAAUGGUACUUUACUCGUGACUUAUGUUUUUUAAAAAAAAAAUUUCAAAUAAAAUGAGCGGUUAAAGUUGAACAUUAAAAACCAUGGCUACACUUAUU